rnacentral:siRNA from 1 species
UCACCGGACGCUUUGUUUUCCU